GGCAGUGCUUGUUGAGAUGUAGCAGUGGUGAGUCGUAGUUGAGAAGUUGCGGUAGUGAGUGCUUGUUCAGAAUUUGUAGUAUUGUUUUGAUGGGCUAGACACCAGAUGUUAUUGGAUUGGGAGGCUGUAAUGAUCAGUGUGCUUUUCGUCAAUAUAUAUGAAGUGUGCCUUGGCUUGAGAGUGGCCAAUGGUUGUCAGUGCGCCGUCUUUGAAGCCACGAGAUUCUGUUAAUUGGUAAACCGCUUGUGAGCAAAUGCUUGGGGUGCGACGUUAUUAACUGAAAUGGUAACACCGGUCAGUGGCACUGUAUCCCGUUGCAGUGGCAUGGUGCUGUAUCAGUCUGUUGCAGUUUGAGGGUGCUGCCUCACGUGUGAUUUACGUUCACAGCUGAUUACAAAAACGCGAGUCUACCUUGGUGUUGCAGCCGUGACUGGGCCGCUACCUUGGCGGCAUACUGCCCAGCACCCGAGGUCUAAGUUAUUGCCGCGGGAGCGCUUGGCCGCGUUGUCGGUCACACCCAGCAAAAGUUGAGUGUCUUGUUCCUUAGAGCUAUACCUGGGUUGAGCGGCUGCCGCCAGGGUUUUAGGCUGUGGAGUUUGCGGAAUUAACUCAUGAACUUUUGUAGAUUAAGAUUCAAAUUUCAUUCUUACUGUUAUAAACUCAGAUGCUUUGUGUUUAUUGAAUACUGUUUUCUUUUGCAUAUAUUGGUA